rnacentral:rRNA from 1 species
AACGAACGCUUUCUUCCUUCCUAACACAUGCAAGUCGAACGAGACCUUCGGGUCUAGUGGCGCACGGGUGCGUAACGCGUGGGAACCUGCCCUUAGGUUCGGAAUAACUCCCCGAAAGGGGUGCUAAUACCGGAUAAUGUCUUCGGACCAAAGAUUUAUCGCCUUUGGAUGGGCCCGCGUUGGAUUAGCUAGUUGGUAGGGUAAAAGCCUACCAAGGCGACGAUCCAUAGCUGGUCUGAGAGGAUGAUCAGCCACACUGGGACUGAGACACGGCCCAGACUCCUACGGGAGGCAGCAGUGGGGAAUAUUGGACAAUGGGCGAAAGCCUGAUCCAGCAAUGCCGCGUGAGUGAUGAAGGCCUUAGGGUUGUAAAGCUCUUUUACCCGGGAUGAUAAUGACAGUACCGGGAGAAUAAGCGACGGCUAACUACGUG